rnacentral:tmRNA from 1 species
GGGGGCGACAUGGUUUCGACGGGGCUCAGGUCUGAGUGAGGGUAGCGGGUCGAGAUCCCGGCCGUUCUCGUUAAACAGGCUGGAAAAACACAACUGGCAAGCAAGAACUUGCUCUGGCCGCCUAACCUAGUUUAGGCGCCUGUCGCGCCUCCCGUGUCCGCCGGGGAGGGUCGCGGCAUCAGCUAGGUGGACUUACCGCAGGCGAGGGUCACCGGCGCCCGAGGGACAAUGAGGUGACUGGCCGAGCGCACCCAGCUCCUACGGGGGCGCGGAGCGAGACACUGUAGUAGGGGCUACACCCGUAGAAGCCUUCUCCAGACGAGUUUCGGACGCGGGUUCGAUUCCCGCCGCCUCCACCA